CCCGGCCCGGCCGCCACCACCACCCCCUUGUGCCCCCCAGCAGCAGCACCCCGCUGCCUCCCCGGGCUCCGGGCUGCUGCCGAGGCCGCCGCCGCCUGGCUCGGCACGCCGCUCCUCCCCGCUCCACCGCCGGAACUACGCCGCCCUCCCCGGCGACGCGAUGUCCGGGGCGGCCACAACCGCAGCCGGGGGGCUGGGGGGGAGAGAGGGGGCGAGGGUAGACCAGAGCGCCCCAGGGUGGGUCAGGGCGGGCCGCCUCCUCCUCCUUCUCCUCCUCCUCCUCGCCUCAGGGCCGCUGUCCCCACCGCCCCCUUUCUCCUCCCCGAGGCGACGAGGAGCCAAAAAUCAGGCAAAAUGAGGCAAAAAGGGGUGAUUUCGGGUGCCUCGGCGCUGCCCCGCCAGGCUGCACGCUGAGGUGGGUGCUGUCAGUUGAAGGAAUGAGUGCCAUGAGAAAAUCAGAAUGGAUUUCAGUCACCUGUCCUCUGUUCUCGCGUUCCUACUCAGAAAUGGCCUUUACUAUCCACGUCCUGUCCCAGCAGGUAAACGUUUGCCAUCCUACCCCACCCUAAAACACAACACUGAGUAAAGCCUCAGCCUACACGUCUGGUACUGGGGAGCCAACGUGCUCUUCCUGAGGUCAAGACAAGGCGUUCCAAACAUAUGGACACAGUUAUCCCACGCGUAAUGCUAGAGCCCGCUUCGUUUCCAACGUGAGGAAUUUUACUUCUCAUGUCAGCCAACUUCUGUUUAUUAGAUUACUGUUUCUCAGGCUUUGUGCCCGUGUUGCUUCUGAGGGUUGGUGUGGGCUUGGUGUACCUGGUGUCUCUGCAGCAUCAGCGCUGACCCAAAAUGAGAUAGGGGGUUUGUGUGGUAGAUGUUUUUCAAGUGAAUGUGCUCACAAAUCCCCUAGGCACAAUAUGGAUUUAAGACAGAGUGGUAGGGUUCUCAACAGGCAGGAUAUAUCAAUGUCACUGAAGACAGAGGUAUUUCGUCCCUUAGCUGCAGCCCUUGCACCACUUGGCUGUUCCUGCUAGCAGAAGCUUUUCCAUUGCUUUUCCUAAUCAUUUGACCGGAGUCUUUGGAAGACUCUGUGUUUCAGUGUUCAGCCCCAAAGUGCCACCCUACUUGAGCCUGGCUUAAUGGGCUACUAAAGGGCAAAUGGAUGCUCUCUGGGAAGAGAGGACUAGUCAGAGACAUGAGCUGCGCAGCCCAGAAUUUGGGGAAAGGGUUAAUGGGAAUGCCAACAGUAAAGGCAAGCUACAGAAAGCAGCUUAAUUGGAUAAAUGGUUUAAGCUAGAUAAACAAUGAAACAUUAUUCUCUAAUCACGUGCUACAAUAGAAUGGAGGCAUUAGCAGGUGGUAUUAAAAAGGUUUUUUUUGCCUUUCUUACUGCUUUCUCUUGACCUGAUUUUUGGAACUAGGCAGAUGCAAUGUUAGCCCUGUGAACGAAAGUGUUUCUGCUUGUUGAGAGACUGAUUUUCAGGGCACUAAAAGCACUGGAUAGGGGACUGCAUCUUCUCUCCUAAUCUGUCUGCUGUGAGGCAGUAUCCUUAUCUUGAGAACAGGCGGUGAAUUUUUAACCUUCUGGACCUGGGGAGAUAAAGACAAAUUUAGCAACUUUGCUGCUUUCCCUUUUUCCUGUGAUUUCAAGGUUAAGAAUUAUGAUCAUAUCUGGGGAGUCUUGCUGUGUUUCAGUGACUCCAUACAGAAAGAUAAGUCUUCAUAUUGUCCCCAGAGAGCAAUGCCUGUGGAUGGCCAUCGUUCAUGCAGGUGUAAACCUGAUCGUGCCCAGAACAGGUUGGAGCUUGUGAUGCUAUAGCUACAUGCAACUGAAUUACUGCAAUGUGUAAACAUUUUAUAAAGGAAGAUAGCACAGAGUCUUUUAUGCUUAUGUCACCUGAACGGGUGCAAUAAAUAUAAGCAGUGCAGGUUCUUCA
rnacentral:lncRNA from 1 species